AUCCAGAUGAUGAGUCCCAAAUAGGACGAAAUGCGCUUCCUGGAU
rnacentral:hammerhead_ribozyme from 1 species